rnacentral:rRNA from 1 species
GAUGAACGCUGGCGGCGUGCCUAAUACAUGCAAGUCGAGCGAACAGACGAGGAGCUUGCUCCUCUGACGUUAGCGGCGGACGGGUGAGUAACACGUGGAUAACCUACCUAUAAGACUGGGAUAACUUCGGGAAACCGGAGCUAAUACCGGAUAAUAUAUUGAACCGCAUGGUUCAAUAGUGAAAGACGGUUUUGCUGUCACUUAUAGAUGGAUCCGCGCCGCAUUAGCUAGUUGGUAAGGUAACGGCAUACCAAGGCAACGAUGCGUAGCCGACCUGAGAGGGUGAUCGGCCACACUGGAACUGAGACACGGUCCAGACUCCUACGGGAGGCAGCAGUAGGGAAUCUUCCGCAAUGGGCGAAAGCUUGACGGAGCAACGCCGCGUGAGUGAUGAAGGUCUUCGGAUCGUAAAACUCUGUUAUUAGGGAAGAACAAAUGUGUAAGUAACUAUGCACGUCUUGACGGUACCUAAUCAGAAAGCCACGGCUAACUACGUG